rnacentral:rRNA from 1 species
GACGAACGCUGGCGGCGUGCUUAACACAUGCAAGUCGAACGGAAAGGCCCUGCUUUUGUGGGGUGCUCGAGUGGCGAACGGGUGAGUAACACGUGAGUAACCUGCCCUUGACUUUGGGAUAACUUCAGGAAACUGGGGCUAAUACCGGAUAGGAGCUCCUGCUGCAUGGUGGGGGUUGGAAAGUUUCGGCGGUUGGGGAUGGACUCGCGGCUUAUCAGCUUGUUGGUGGGGUAGUGGCUUACCAAGGCUUUGACGGGUAGCCGGCCUGAGAGGGUGACCGGCAAAAUUGGGAUGGGGAUACGGCCCAGACUCCUACGGGAGGCAGCAGUGGGGAAUAUGGCACAUUGGGCGGAAGCCUGAUGCAGCAACGCCGCGUGCGGGAUGACGGCCUUCGGGUUGUAAACCGCUUUCGCCUGUGACGAAGCGGGAGUGACGGUAAUGGGUAAAGAAGCACCGGCUAACUACGUG